GACGAACGCUGGCGGCGUGCCUAAUACAUGCAAGUAGAACGCACAGUUUAUACCGUAGCUUGCUACACCAUAAACUGUGAGUUGCGAACGGGUGAGUAACGCGUAGGUAACCUGCCUGGUAGCGGGGGAUAACUAUGGGAAACGAUAGCUAAUACCGCAUAAUAUUAAUUAUUGCAUGAUAAUUGAUUGAAAGAUGCAAUUGCAUCACUACUAGAUGGACCUGCGGUGUAUUAGCUAGUAGGUGAGGUAACGGCGCACCUAGGGGAGGAAACAUAGCCGACCGGAGAGGAUGGUCGGCCACACUGGGAGUGAGACACGGCCCAGACGCACACGGGAAGCAGCAGUAGUGAAUCGUGGGCAAGGGGCGAAAGUCUGACCGAGCAACGCCGAGUGAGUGAAGAAGGUUUUCGGAUCGUAAAGCUCUGUUGUAGGGGAAGAAAGGGUGUGAGAGUGGAAAGUUCACACUGUGACGGUAUCUUAUCAGAAAGGGACGGCUAACUACGUG
rnacentral:rRNA from 1 species